rnacentral:tRNA from 1 species
UAGGUUGAAGCCAGUUGUCUAGGGUGUUUAGCUGUUAACUAAAUUUUUCGUGGGUUUGUAUUCCCACCAAUCUAG